rnacentral:rRNA from 1 species
UACGUAGGGACCGAGCGUUGUCCGGAAUCAUUGGGCGUAAAGAGCGUGUAGGCGGCCACUUAAGUCCUGCGUGAAAUCUUGCGGCUCAACCGCAAGCGGUCGUGGGAAACUGGGUGGCUAGAGUGCGGGAGAGGAGAGUGGAAUUCCUGGUGUAGCGGUGGAAUGCGCAGAUAUCAGGAAGAACACCCGUGGCGAAGGCGGCUCUCUGGGCCGAUAUUGACGCUGAGGAGCGAAAGCGUGGGGAGCGAACAGG